UCCUCUCAUACAACUGACAAAUUCACUAUAGUUUGCUGUUGCUUUAGUCUCAUACUCUCUGGUUUAACUGUGGUUAUUUAUGGUAACUCUGAACGCUGAUACGACCAUGAUUUUACUGCCAUACUUCAUAGUUACCAUGGUUAGCAUCUGUUUAACCAGAACAUUACCAGUUCAGUAUGGUGCUUUAUGGUAAUAAUAUAUUUUUGUUUGCAGACAACACCUUCAACUCAACCGUAUGGAGAGCGAUAGUGAAACUGGAACAGGGGAGAACUCUAGGAACUUGGUCUGUAGCUCUGGAUGGCUCCUGUUUUGUGCAAAAGUUGUUGAAUAGCAGGGAGAAGAUGAGAAGAUGUGCACCAAGCAACAGUAAGAAAACAGUGAGGGAAAAGCCUGGUGAGAACAAUGCUCAAUAAUAAACAGCUUGUCCAUGUUUUGCUGACCAGUGAGACCACAGUCUGACCUUCUUGUUUUCUACUGGCUCAUGAGACUGAGGUUCAUGAAUUCACAGGUCGAUGUUCAACUAAAGGAAGUCAGUCUGAAGGAAAAACCCGUCUCCCAGCUGCUCUGCAGCUCCUGUUACGACCCAUCAUACAUCACUCA